rnacentral:rRNA from 1 species
UGGUGGAGUGAUUUGUCUGGUUAAUUCCGAUAACGAACGAGACCCCGGCCUACUUACUAGAUCACGGAUCCUUUCGUCCGUGCCGUCUUCUUAGAGGGACGAACUGGCUACGUGAAAUAAGCUACAUGAAAUAGGGGCGAAUAACA